rnacentral:rRNA from 1 species
UACAGAGGGGGCAGGCGUUGUUCGGAAUUACUGGGCGUAAAGGGCGCGUAGGCGGCCUUCUAAGUCGAACGUGAAAUCCCUGGGCUCAACCCAGGAACUGCGUCCGAUACUGGAAGGCUUGAAUCCGGGAGAGGGAUGCGGAAUUCCAGGUGUAGCGGUGAAAUGCGUAGAUAUUCGCAAGAACACCAGUGGCGAAGGCGGCUCACUGGCCCGGUACUGACGCUGAGGUGCGAAAGCGUGGGGAGCAAACAGG